GACGUAGGGCGCGAGCGUUGUCCGGAUUUAUUGGGCGUAAAGAGCUCGUAGGCGGCUUGUCGCGUCGAUUGUGAAAUCCCGCGGCUCAACUGCGGGUCUGCAGUCGAUACGGGCAGGCUAGAGUUCGGUAGGGGAGACUGGAAUUCCUGGUGUAGCGGUGAAAUGCGCAGAUAUCAGGAGGAACACCGAUGGCGAAGGCAGGUCUCUGGGCCGAUACUGACGCUGAGGAGCGAAAGCGUGGGGAGCGAACAGG
rnacentral:rRNA from 1 species